CUUGCUCUGCUGACGACCGGCGCACGGGUGCGUAACGCGUAUGCAACCUACCUUCUACAGGGGGAUAGUCAAUAGAAAUGUUGAAUAAUACCCCAUACGAUCUUUGAGUGGCAUUACUUAAAGAGGAAAGCUUCGGCGGUAGAAGAUGGGCAUGCGUCCUAUUAGUUAGUUGGUGAGGUAACGGCUCACCAAGACUACGAUAGGUAGGGGCCCUGAGAGGGGGAUCCCCCACACUGGUACUGAGACACGGACCAGACUCCUACGGGAGGCAGCAGUGAGGAAUAUUGGACAAUGGAGGCAACUCUGAUCCAGCCAUGCCGCGUGCAGGAAGACUGCCCUAUGGGUUGUAAACUGCUUUUAUACAGGAAGAAACCUACUCACGUGUAAGUAGCUGACGGUACUGUAAGAAUAAGGAUCGGCUAACUCCGUGCCAGCAGCCGCGGUAAUACGGAGGAUCCAAGCGUUAUCCGGAAUCAUUGGGUUUAAAGGGUCCGUAGGUGGUUUAUUCAGUCA
rnacentral:rRNA from 1 species